UACGAAGGGGGCUAGCGUUGCUCGGAAUCACUGGGCGUAAAGCGCACGUAGGCGGAUUGCUAAGUCAGGGGUGAAAUCCUGGAGCUCAACUCCAGAACUGCCUUUGAUACUGGCGAUCUUGAGUCCGGGGAGAGGUGAGUGGAACUGCGAGUGUAGAGGUGAAAUUCGUAGAUAUUCGCAAGAACACCAGUGGCGAAGGCGGCUCACUGGCCC
rnacentral:rRNA from 1 species